GUGAGUAACACGUGGGUGAUCUGCCCUGCACUUCGGGAUAAGCUUGGGAAACUGGGUCUAAUACCGGAUAGGAGCCAUCUUUAGUGUGGUGGUUGGAAAGUUUUUCGGUGUAGGAUGAGCUCGCGGCCUAUCAGCUUGUUGGUGGGGUAAUGGCCUACCAAGGCGGCGACGGGUAGCCGGCCUGAGAGGGUGUACGGCCACAUUGGGACUGAGACACGGUCCAG
rnacentral:rRNA from 1 species